rnacentral:miRNA from 1 species
CUGUGGGAAGCCAGGCCAGCACAGAGAAGCUGAGGAUGCUCACGGCACAGCCAGACUUCACCCAGGCUCUACUUCCCUCCAG